CCCGCCCCGCCCCGCGCCGCCCCGCCGAGGCCUCGCCGGAUGUGACGCCACAGCGCUUAGCCGUCUCUUCCGUCGCAGCGGCCUUUGUCUCAGGGUCUUUGGCCUCUGUUCUGUGCAGGGAUCAAAAAAAACCUUUCACCAGUCAACUUAGUUUGACUAGACUCCUGCUUUAAAUCUUCCAGCCACGGACCUGGUGAUUCUCACGCUUUCUGGGCCCUGUGGAUUCCAGCUCAAGCAGUUGAGUCUUAUCAUGAGCUGUCCUAAGGAACGAGACCCCCUUCCAGAACCUGAAAAUAUGGAAGAAACUAGUCCUCCAAAGAAGAAAUGCCAGAAAACGAGAAUUGGUUUACUGCCUCAGACAGAGGCAACCUCUGGUCCAACCUGGGGUGACCUGAAAAAGUUGACCUUCCAAGCUGAGAAUACCUUGCGUAUGACCGGUUCUUCUGUGACCCCCGAAAACUUGCUGAUGGCCAUGAUGGCCUGUGUAACAUGUAAUUCCAAAAAACAGACUUGAAGCUUCUUUACAGAGUCCUCCAGUGAAGCCACUGAGCUGAAGCCAUGAUAGUGAUGCUGCAGCAGAUUCAUCUCCAACACUUCCCAAACCUACUUGUGAUUUUCUUACCACUCUCUUUCCUUUAUAAACAAAGAAGUGGGGAUAUGUAGGAAACUCUUGAAAAGCCAUGUGGACUGCCUGUGUGACAACAACCAGAGGCAGGAUGCCAGUGUCUAACACAACAUGUAUACUGGAAAACCAGACUGCAAUCUGCUGGCAUCAGGAGGUCUGAUAGUGCUUUGUAGGAAAACAUAGAUUAUUUAUUGCCAGUAGUGACCUGGUCAUUGGGCCUGCACUAAUUUACACCUUCCUAGCCUUAGUGACUUCACAUUCCUGUAUUCUUCCUCUUUCUGUUCUCCAUUCUUUGUCUGUCCCCAAUAAAUACCCGUGUAGACUUGAACAGAAGCGAACAGACAACCAAAAGGCUGUGGCCUCUCAGGGUCUCUUGGUUUCACUAAGUAAUAUGUCUGAGUAAAUCCUUUAUUCUCUCA